rnacentral:lncRNA from 1 species
GCGGGACCCUGCCCCUCGGCGGCUCCCCAACUCCUCUAGCUUCCAUUUUUCUCUGCUUUGGCAAAGCAAGUGGGAAGGGGCGGGGGAGACCUGCGGGUCCCCGCUGCAGGCGUCUCGGGGCUGCUGGGCUCGGCCCACCUCGUCCCUGCCAGGGAGAGAGGUACAUGGACAGACAUGAACCAGGCGAGCGGACUGGACCUGCUCAAGAUCACACAUGGGAAAGGAGCCCGAAGGAAAAGCAGAUUUAAAGGAUCUGAUGGAAGCACUUCAUCUGAUACUACCUCAAACAGUUUCGUUCGUCAGGUAAGGAAACUCUUAAUUUCGCGGCUUUGAGGAAUGUAUUGAAAUCCUUAAGAUUUGU